rnacentral:rRNA from 1 species
CAGGCCUAACACAUGCAAGUCGAACGGUAACAUAGCUAGCUUGCUAGCUGAUGACGAGUGGCGGACGGGUGAGUAAUGCUUAGGAAUUUGCCUUUGUGUGGGGGACAACAGUUGGAAACGACUGCUAAUACCGCAUAACACCUACGGGUCAAAGGGGGCUUUUAGCUCCCGCGCAAAGAGAAGCUUAAGUGAGAUUAGCUAGUUGGUGGGGUAAGAGCUCACCAAGGCGACGAUCUCUAGCUGGUUUGAGAGGAUGAUCAGCCACACUGGGACUGAGACACGGCCCAGACUCCUACGGGAGGCAGCAGUGGGGAAUAUUGCACAAUGGGGGAAACCCUGAUGCAGCCAUGCCGCGUGUGUGAAGAAGGCCUUCGGGUUGUAAAGCACUUUCAGUGAUGAGGAAAGCCUAGUUGUUAAUACCAGCUAGGUGUGACGUUAGUCACAGAAGAAGCACCGGCUAACUCCGUGCCAGCAGCCGCGGUAAUACGGAGGGUGCGAGCGUUAAUCGGAAUUACUGGGCGUAAAGCGCACGCAGGCGGUUAUAUAAGCCAGAUGUGAAAUCCCCGGGCUCAACCUGGGAAUUGCAUUUGGAACUGUAUGACUAGAAUACGAGAGAGGGUGGUAGAAUUUCAGGUGUAGCGGUGAAAUGCGUAGAGAUCUGAAGGAAUACCGGUGGCGAAGGCGGCCACCUGGCUCGAUAUUGACGCUCAUGUGCGAAAGCGUGGGUAG